CUUCAGAGCCCCACCUGGGCUUCUGCUUUCAAACAAGCUCUUAAGGAGGGAAGAAUCUACUAUCUGUUAGAACAUGAGCACUAAGGACACAAGAAUACUUGUGAAUGAAGAAACUGAUGAAAAUCUGACUUUGUUUAGUGAGACCAACCCCCACUGUGUAGUCCUUGCAGUGCUGGAGCUUAAUAUGCAGAAUCACAAAGACCCACCUGCCUGUGCCUCCCAAGUGCUUCAUUAAAGGUGCAUGCCACCACGCCCAGCAUGAUAAAGUUUUAUAUUUUAUAUUAUAAAAUAUAAAAACAGCACGCCAGUGCUGUGGCAGGAGGGUAGCAAGUCUCGAGUUAAGCACCAGCUGGGCUACUGUGGAGGUUUGAAUGAGAGAUGUCCCCCAUUGGCUCAUGUACAUUAACACCUUGUCCAUGGUUAGUGGUGCUGUCUGGGGAGGUGUAGAUGGUGGUGCUGUCUGGGGAGGUGUAGAUGGUGGUGCUGUCUGGGGAGGUGUAGACGGUGCCUUAAUCUACAUGCUGCUACAUGGCUUGUUGUUUUACCUCUCUCCUCUUGCAUAUCCUGCUUCUUCUCUGUCUCCUCUGGAAUCUCUCUUGAGCCUAGAUUCGUCUCCUCUUCUUUUUUCUCUGCCCAGAAUUCCUGCCUAAUCUCUUCCUGCCUAGCUAUUGGCCUUUAGUCAGCUCUUUAUUAAACCAAUCAGAUGGCACUUUGACAAAGGACACAUCUUCAGUAUACAAAAAGAUUAUUCCACAACAGAGCUAGGCUGUGGAAAUAAUUGAAGGUAUAUUGACAAUUGGCCUGCGAGGAGACAACAGUGACGGGCUACAAAUGAAGCAGGUUUUCUGCCAUUGUCCUCCUCUUCUAUUUAAUUUGGCUGGAUAUCUAGAACCAUUGUGUCAUUAAUGGUGAGUUCCAGUGAUGAAAAGAAAUUUUGCAGGAGAGUAAAGACACAAAAGAAAUAAAUUCGUGUACAUGCUUUUCUUUCUUUUUCCUUCUCCUGUGUUGGGGAUGGAACCCAAGACCCCAAGCAUUGUUUUACAACAUGCUACUACUAUACUGUAUCCAGCACUCCACACUCAUUUCCGCUUAUUUAUUUGGAAUAUGUACACAUCUGUAUGCAGGUGUGAUGGGGGAGGUCCUUCUGUAUAUAUGUUUGUCUUAU
rnacentral:lncRNA from 1 species